UACGAAGGGGGCUAGCGUUGCUCGGAAUCACUGGGCGUAAAGCGCACGUAGGCGGCUUUCUAAGUCAGGGGUGAAAUCCUGGAGCUCAACUCCAGAACUGCCUUUGAUACUGGGAAGCUUGAGUCCGGAAGAGGUGAGUGGAACUGCGAGUGUAGAGGUGAAAUUCGUAGAUAUUCGCAAGAACACCAGUGGCGAAGGCGGCUCACUGGUCCGGUACUGACGCUGAGGUGCGAAAGCGUGGGGAGCAAACGGG
rnacentral:rRNA from 1 species